GACGAACGCUGGCGGCGUGCUUAACACAUGCAAGUCGAGCGGAGCGGCGAACUGGUGAGUAACGCGUGAGUAAUUGCCCCCCUCCCUGUGAUAACAGAUGGAAACGGCUGCCAAUACCGGAUAGUGGGGGAUGACUGGCGUGCUAUCAGCUUGUUGGUGGGGUAGUGGCCUACCGAGGCGACGACGGGUAGCCGGCCUGGGAGGGGGACCGGCCACAAUGGGCUGAGAUACGGCGCAGACUCCUACGGGGGACAGCGGUGGGAAGUAUUGCCCAAUGGGGGAACGCCUGUUGCAACAACGCCGCGUGCGGAAUGACGGCCUUCGGGGUGUAAACCGCUUUCAGCUAUGACGCGGUAGUGGCAGAAGAAGCACCGGCUAACUACGUGCCAGCAGCCGCGGUAAUAC
rnacentral:rRNA from 1 species